GAAGACGACGAGGUAGAUAGGUUGGAGGUGGAAGUGCAGCAAUGCAUGGAGCUGACCAAUACUAAUCGGUCGAGGGCUUAUCCAA
rnacentral:rRNA from 2 species